UGAAUCCGGGCCGCAAGGGAGGAUUGG
rnacentral:piRNA from 1 species